UCCUCAAUUCCCACAAAAGAAGCACUGAACUUAAGCAGCCUCAUCUCCUCCUCCAGAUCUCAGACCUCUGCUAGUCUGCUCGGCGCCUCAUCUCCACGCACGUCGCACAGCCCACUGCCGGCGCACAUGCCACCGCCGUCGCACAUGCCACCGCCGUCGCACAAACAACUGCCGUCGCACAAGCAACUGCAGUCGCACAGGCCACCACCGUCGCACAGGCCGUCGCCGUUGCACAGCCCACCGCCCUCGCACUCCAGAUCUCAGCCCUCUGUUAGUCUGCUAAGCGCCUCAUCUCCAGGCACGUCGAAUAGGCCACCGCCGUCACACUCCAGAUCUCACGCCACCACCGUCGCACUCCAGAUCUCACGCCACCACCGUCGCACUCCAGAUCUCACGCCACCGCCAUCGCACACGGAGCCUCCGCUCCACGACAGCAGCGUGGUAAGGCUACAUCUCGCGGUGACAACAUCUCCAGACCAUUUUUAGAUGGACGAUGUGGACGGUAGCUUCGAUUUGGUGUCGUUGAAUAAAUUCGCUGCUGGGGAAAGCUGUUGGGACAUAAAUGCCUGGGGAAAGCGGAAGAGGAAGAAGAAUGCCAUAUUGAAAAGACUAAUUUACCCCUACAUUUAACGUCUCAUUAACUGGACAUAAACGGAAUGGAACAAUUUCAAAA